rnacentral:rRNA from 1 species
CAAUAGCGUAUAUUAAAGUUGUUGCAGUUAAAAAGCUCGUAGUUGGAUUUCUGGUCGGAAGCUCCUGUCCUCUGAUGAGCGUACAAGUGCGUCCUACCAUCCUUCUGUUAACCUUUAAGGCUUUCGCGGCUUUCUAGGGGCUCAGAUAUUUUACCUCGAGAAAAUUAGAGUGUUUCAGGCAGGCUAGCGCCGGAAUACAUUAGCAUGGAAUAAUGGAAUAGGACUUUUGCCUCUUCUGUUGGUCAUGAGGCUCGAGUAAUGAUUAAUAGGGAUAGUUGGGGGCAUUAGUACUUAACUGUCAGAGGUGAAAUUCUCGGAUUUGUUAAAGACUAACUUAUGCGAAAGCAUUUGCCAAGGAUGUUUUCAUUAA